rnacentral:rRNA from 1 species
UGCAAGUCGAACGAUAUCAUCCAGCUUGCUGGAUGAGAAAGUGGCGCACGGGUGCGUAACGCGUAUGCAACCUACCUUAAUCAGGGGGAUAGCCCGGAGAAAUCCGGAUUAAUACCGCAUAAAAUCACAGUCCCACCUGGGACAAUGAUCAAACAUUUAUGGGAUUGAGAUGGGCAUGCGUGUCAUUAGCUAGUUGGCGGGGUAACGGCCCACCAAGGCGACGAUGACUAGGGGAUCUGAGAGGAUGGCCCCCCACACUGGUACUGAGACACGGACCAGACUCCUACGGGAGGCAGCAGUAAGGAAUAUUGGUCAAUGGAGGCAACUCUGAACCAGCCAUGCCGCGUGCAGGAAGACUGCCCUAUGGGUUGUAAACUGCUUUUAUCCGGGAAUAAACCUCUUUACGUGUAAAGAGCUGAAUGUACCGGAAGAAUAAGGAUCGGCUAACUCCGUGCCAGCAGCCGCGGUAAUACGGAGGAUCCAAGCGUUAUCCGGAUUUAUUGGGUUUAAAGGGUGCGUAGGCGGCCUGUUAAGUCAGGGGUGAAAGACGGUAGCUCAACUAUCGCAGUGCCCUUGAUACUGAUGGGCUUGAAUGGACUAGAGGUAGGCGGAAUGAGACAAGUAGCGGUGAAAUGCAUAGAUAUGUCUCAGAACACCGAUUGCGAAGGCAGCUUACUAUGGUCUUAUUGACGCUGAGGCACGAAAGCGUGGGGAUCAAACAGGAUUAGAUACCCUGGUAGUCCACGCCCUAAACGAUGAACACUCGCUGUUGGCGAUACACAGUCAGCGGCUAAGCGAAAGCGUUAAGUGUUCCACCUGGGGAGUACGCUCGCAAGAGUGAAACUCAAAGGAAUUGACGGGGGCCCGCACAAGCGGAGGAGCAUGUGGUUUAAUUCGAUGAUACGCGAGGAACCUUACCCGGGCUUGAAAGUUAGUGAAUCAUUU